CUCAUACCAACUUUGUCAAGCAGAGAAACAACAAAAAUACAUUUCAAUAGACAAAGCUGCCCUCUAGAACAAAACUGCAUUAAUUCUGCACACACCAGGAUGGCAGUAGCCACAACUCAUCAUCAAUUUAAUCUCAGCUUGAGCACCACAGGUGAAGGGAAGGUCAUUGUGUCCAUUCCACUGCUGGACUGCUCUCUAUCUGGCAUCAAGGUUUUUCUUGACACUGAUCCAAAAUUGCCAUCCCUAUCCCUGGUUCUGCUCCUCAGACCAUAGUCUCCUGGGGUUUUUGUUUGUUUGUUUUUUGUUUUUCCCAAACUGUUUAUACCAUGUUUUCCCCUCCUUCACACUAAAUCUCCCUGGCUUCCUUAUCUGACACUGAUGGGACAAAGUUUCCAGAUCAUCACCACCCUAGUCUCUUUCUUUUCUGCCUAGUAACUACUCUCACAUUCUGGAAAUGUGCUCCCCAUGUUGAGCACACUAUUAUUAAGUGCUAUGUCCAGACCUAGUCAAAGAGUAUUUUAAUGUAUCUAAGAAUCUAUUAGCCUAACACUAUAUAAAACACUGCCUAUGCUUACGGAAUUUCAUUAUGCUUAGAAUUCUCACUUCUCAAAAGGUUCCUCCUGAGUACUCUUUUAGGAGGUUUGGCCAAAGAGUAGGCAGAACUGUUAGCCUCCUAAUUCCAUCACCAUUUAAGCCACAAACCCCUUAAGUAGAUCCUCUUCGCCCACUGCUCCCUGCAGGCAAAGGGCCUGCUGUGAGCUCAGAGCAAAGAGGUGUCUGAGCUCACAGGCCUUUUCCACCAGAUUCUGGGGAUGCCAGUGAAGGGACAAUCUGGG
rnacentral:lncRNA from 10 species